UUGAACUUACACUUUUCCCUGUUUGAAGACCACAGAAAAUAAGAGUUUACUUGCACAAUGUAACAUGCAAAUAAUCAUUUUUCUGGAUUACUCUUUUUUUU